CUACGGGACGCUGCAGUGGGGAAUAUUGCACAAUGGGGGAAACCCUGAUGCAGCGAUGCCGCGUGAACGAAGAAGGCUUUCGAGUCGUAAAGUUCUGUUCUUAGGGAAGAAAAUGACGGUACCUAAGGAGAAAGCACCGGCUAAAUACGUGCCAGCAGCCGCGGUAAUACGUAUGGUGCAAGCGUUGUCCGGAAUUACUGGGCGUAAAGAGUUCGUAGGCGGUCAAAUAAGUCAGAAGUGAAAGGCUACGGCUCAACCGUAGUAAGCUUUUGAAACUGUUCGACUUGAGUACUGGAGAGGAAAGUGGAAUUCCUAGUGUAGCGGUGAAAUGCGUAGAUAUUAGGAGGAACACCAGUGGCGAAGGCGGCUUUCUGGACAGUAACUGACGCUGAGGAACGAAAGCGUGGGGAGCAAACAGGAUUAGAUACCCCAGUAGUC
rnacentral:rRNA from 1 species